CUGAUAUACUGAUUAUGUUCAGAAAUCUUGGAGAGAAAAAACAGUGUCAAAAAUGGCAAGAGCAGCAGUCUCAGCAUCCCUAAAACUCUUCUCUCUCAAAUUAUCUUCUCAAUCUCUCUCCUCCAUUCCCACUUCCCUCUCCUUCACCACUUUCCAUGCUCCUUCUUCCUCCCAGAAGAAGAAGCAGGAAAGGAGGAGAGAGAUUGAGAAGAACAAGAAGAAGACGGCAGCCUCUUCGCCGUCUUCUUCUUCCGCCAUUGUUGUAGCUUCAAGCUCAUCGAAAUCGAAGUCGAAAGCGGCUUUGGCUUUCGUGAAGAGGAGGACGAGGUCUGAGAGGGAAUUCGAUGAGGAGUAUAUGAAGAAAUACGGGGAUGAAGAUAGUCAUAUUCCUGUUAUGCUUGGUGAGGUUAUGGAUGUGUUUGAUUCUUCUUCGUCUUCGUUUCGCCUUCGUUCGUUUGUUGAUUGUACCCUUGGUGCUGCUGGUCAUUCUUGCGCUAUAAUUCAAGCUCAUCCUGAACUGCAAACAUACAUUGGAUUAGAUGUUGAUCCUGUGGCCCAUGAGGAGGCUCAAUCUCGAAUCAAUAAUAUGCUGAACAGCACGCCUGCUUGUUCAAGUACCAAUCUGAAAGCUCAUAUGCUUUUGAAGAACUUCAAAGAAAUCAAACAAGCAAUUGGUCAGGUUGAUGAAAAGCUUUUACUCUCUGGAGUUGAUGGGAUUUUGAUGGACUUAGGGAUGUCUUCCAUGCAGGUUGAUGAUCCUAGAAGAGGAUUCAGCAUGCUUAACAAUGGGCCACUUGACAUGCGAAUGGAUCCUAAGGGUAGUUUAAAAGCAGAGGAUAUACUCAAUUCUUGGCCACCAACUGAAGUUGGGAAAAUCCUUCAGGAGUAUGGAGAAGAAAGUAACUGGUAUUCUCUCCAGAACAAGAUUGUCAAGGCUCGUCUAGGUGGCGGAUUUCAUACAACUGGUGAUUUGGUGGAUCUUAUUCGCGGCUCUACAUCUAGGGUGAAAGGAGGUAGGCAGGGUUGGAUAAAGACUGCUGCACGGGUUUUCCAAGCGUUAAGGAUAGCAGUUAAUGAUGAACUCAAAACCUUGGAAAAUUCUCUUUACAAUUGCUUUGAUUGCCUUAGUCCUGGUGGCAGGCUCGCAGUCAUAUCUUUCCACAGUUUGGAAGACAGGAUUGUAAAACAGACUUUCCUCAACAUCAUCAAUAACAUUCCGAGAAAAGAUGACACUAUUAUAGAAGAGGGAGGGUUUGGAGCUGAACCAAAAGAGUUCAACUAUUAUCCCGGCGAAAAGGAAGUUUGGAUUAAACAAGUAGUUAAAGGCUCUUCUGGGGUAAUCCUCACUAAGAGACCUAUAACAGCAACUCCUAAGGAAGAGAAAUUAAACUCGAGAUGUAGGAGUGCAAAGCUCCGAGUGAUUCAGAAGAUGUAGGAGAAAGUUCAGAUAUUAAUCAACUUUAGUCUGUGGAGGGAGAAAUUUUGCUAGAAUUAUAUGAACAGUAUUAAGGCCUUAAGGGACAGCACAGCUUUUCAUAAACGCCUCGCUGUACAUACAUCAGGACAGUGCAUAGCGUGCACGUGUCCAUGUCCGUGUCUGUGUCCUGUGCUCGCAGGGAUGCGUCUCUUGCAUAUGCCACCCGGAAAGCCUCCAGGUGUACUUUUCUUCAGGUAUAGAGUUGAUGAUCAACAAGGUAACAAGUAUGACUACUUGCAAAACUGUUGAAGGGUCAAAUCAACGCAUGCAAACUAAACACUUAGCUCAGCGCCUCAGCCACUAGAAGGCGGCUUAGACGAAUGCUGUUAUUUUGUUUUGUUGUUAAAAAGAUGGCGUGAUUGUUUUACUAGUCCGCAAGUAUAUUAAGGGGUAGGUGCUUGGCGAUAUGGGGUAGAAUGCAAUGAUAUCCAUGCCGCUUUCCUACAUGAAAUUCGUUGGAAUUUCUCGCCUGCUUUAGUAAUCCUUUGCUUUGUCACAACUUAUGCCUUGUUGUAAUCUGAUUUUGUAACUAAGACCCUGUUUGAUUUAAUGUAAAAGGUUUUCAUGAAAAUAAAGUUUUCAUUUUUUUUCCAUUUUCCUUUGUUUGGUUUGUUAAGGGGCGGAAACAAUUUUUUUAAGGGUGGAAAAUUUCAUCCUUAAUAAUGGAAAACAUUUUCCUUCUCAAAACAAGGGAAGCUACAUUUUCCUCUCUCAUCCUUACCUCUUUUUUUACUUCCCUCUCAUCCAUCCUUACAUUUCCACUCUUAUUUU